rnacentral:lncRNA from 1 species
AUGUAUAUGCAGUUGGGAGCUGGUUGUUGCAGUGUCAAUGGAAUUAGGAAAGACCCAAUAGGAGAUUACUGGAGAUCUGUGAUGAAAGAUGAGCCUAUGCCUAAAGCAAUCCAAUCCCUACUACUUCCUGCUGCAAAUUCUGAUCAUCAACACCCUGCUGUCCAUUAUGAUACUGAUCACAACUUCAAAAACCCUGAUCAGUCACAACCUGAUGAACACAUCUUCGAGUACUAUAGCAAAGAUGAUGCCCUGCCAUCCAACAAAUUCGCAAAGGGGAUUGGAUCGCGACCUGAUGAAGCCCUCUUGUUCUAUAGCAAAGAUGAUGCCCUGCCAUCCAACAAAUUCGCAAAGGGGAUUGGAUCGCGACCUGAUGAAGCCCUCUUGUUCUAUAGCAAAGAUGAUGCCCUGCCAUCCAACAAAUUCGCAAAGGGGAUUGGAUCGCGACCUGAUGAAGCCCUCUUGUUCUAUAGCAAAGAUGAUGCCCUGCCAUCCAACAAAUUCGCAAAGGGGAUUGGAUCGCGACCUGAUGAAGCCCUCUUGUUCUAUAGCAAAGAUGAUGCCCCGCCAUCCAACAAAUUCGCAAAGGGGAUUGGAUCGCGACCUGAUGAAGCCCUCUUGUUCUAUAGCAAAUGAACCACGCUAGUUAUGAUAAUUGUACCUUCGAUCAUCUUUAAUAAUCUGUUAAGUAUUUGAAUAAAGGAAACCGUUGAUCGAUUACUAUAGUAUUUUCAUGAGUUUCUAUAAAAUAUGGUCUUUUUUAGCGACCGAACAUGCUCGUACAAUAACU